GCCGGGCUGGCACAAUCGGUAGCGCGUGAGACUCUUAAGACAUCUGUCGGCGAUCUCAAGGUUGUGGGUUCGAGCCCCACGUUCGGCU